rnacentral:rRNA from 1 species
UACGUAGGGUGCAAGCGUUGUCCGGAAUUAUUGGGCGUAAAGAGCUCGUAGGCGGUCUGUCGCGUCGAAUGUGAAACCCCGAGGCUCAACCUCGGGUCUGCAUUCGAUACGGGCAGACUAGAGUUCGGUAGGGGAGUCUGGAAUUCCUGGUGUAGCGGUGAAAUGCGCAGAUAUCGUCAAGAACACCGAUAGCGAAGGCAGCUUACUGGGCUGUAACUGACGCUGAUGCACGAAAGUGUGGGGGAU